UUAAGUUAUUAAGGGCGCACGGUGGAUGCCUUGGCACUAGAAGCCGAUGAAGGACGUUACUAACGACGAUAUGCUUUGGGGAGCUGUAAGUAAGCUUUGAUCCAGAGAUUUCCGAAUGGGGAAACCCAACAUGAGUUAUGUCAUGUUAUCGAUAUGUGAAUACAUAGCAUAUCAGAAGGCACACCCGGAGAACUGAAACAUCUUAGUACCCGGAGGAAGAGAAAGAAAAUUCGAUUCCCUUAGUAGCGGCGAGCGAAACGGGAAGAGCCCAAACCAACAAGCUUGCUUGUUGGGGUUGUAGGACACUCUAUACGGAGUUACAAAGGACGACAUUAGACGAAUCAUCUGGAAAGAUGAAUCAAAGAAGGUAAUAAUCCUGUAGUCGAAAAUGUUGUCUCUCUUGAGUGGAUCCUGAGUACGACGGAGCACGUGAAAUUCCGUCGGAAUCUGGGAGGACCAUCUCCUAAGGCUAAAUACUCUCUAGUGACCGAUAGUGAACCAGUACCGUGAGGGAAAGGUGAAAAGCACCCCGGAAGGGGAGUGAAAUAGAACCUGAAACCGUGUGCUUACAAGUAGUCAGAGCCCGUUAAUGGGUGAUGGCGUGCCUUUUGUAGAAUGAACCGGCGAGUUACGAUUUGAUGCAAGGUUAAGCAGUAAAUGUGGAGCCGUAGCGAAAGCGAGUCUGAAUAGGGCGUUUAGUAUUUGGUCGUAGACCCGAAACCAGGUGAUCUACCCUUGGUCAGGUUGAAGUUCAGGUAACACUGAAUGGAGGACCGAACCGACUUACGUUGAAAAGUGAGCGGAUGAACUGAGGGUAGCGGAGAAAUUCCAAUCGAACCUGGAGAUAGCUGGUUCUCUCCGAAAUAGCUUUAGGGCUAGCCUCAAGUGAUGAUUAUUGGAGGUAGAGCACUGUUUGGACGAGGGGCCCCUCUCGGGUUACCGAAUUCAGACAAACUCCGAAUGCCAAUUAAUUUAACUUGGGAGUCAGAACAUGGGUGAUAAGGUCCGUGUUCGAAAGGGAAACAGCCCAGACCACCAGCUAAGGUCCCAAAAUAUAUGUUAAGUGGAAAAGGAUGUGGCGUUGCCCAGACAACUAGGAUGUUGGCUUAGAAGCAGCCAUCAUUUAAAGAGUGCGUAAUAGCUCACUAGUCGAGUGACACUGCGCCGAAAAUGUACCGGGGCUAAACAUAUUACCGAAGCUGUGGAUUGUCCUUUGGACAAUGGUAGGAGAGCGUUCUAAGGGCGUUGAAGCAUGAUCGUAAGGACAUGUGGAGCGCUUAGAAGUGAGAAUGCCGGUGUGAGUAGCGAAAGACGGGUGAGAAUCCCGUCCACCGAUUGACUAAGGUUUCCAGAGGAAGGCUCGUCCGCUCUGGGUUAGUCGGGUCCUAAGCUGAGGCCGACAGGCGUAGGCGAUGGAUAACAGGUUGAUAUUCCUGUACCACCUAUAAUCGUUUUAAUCGAUGAGGGGACGCAGUAGGAUAGGCGAAGCGUGCGAUUGGAUUGCACGUCUAAGCAGUAAGGCUGAGUAUUAGGCAAAUCCGGUACUCAUUAAGGCUGAGCUGUGAUGGGGAGAAGACAUUGUGUCUUCGAGUCGUUGAUUUCACACUGCCGAGAAAAGCCUCUAGAUAGAAAAUAGGUGCCCGUACCGCAAACCGACACAGGUAGUCAAGAUGAGAAUUCUAAGGUGAGCGAGCGAACUCUCGUUAAGGAACUCGGCAAAAUGACCCCGUAACUUCGGGAGAAGGGGUGCUCUUUAGGGUUAACGCCCAGAAGAGCCGCAGUGAAUAGGCCCAAGCGACUGUUUAUCAAAAACACAGGUCUCUGCUAAACCGUAAGGUGAUGUAUAGGGGCUGACGCCUGCCCGGUGCUGGAAGGUUAAGAGGAGUGGUUAGCUUCUGCGAAGCUACGAAUCGAAGCCCCAGUAAACGGCGGCCGUAACUAUAACGGUCCUAAGGUAGCGAAAUUCCUUGUCGGGUAAGUUCCGACCCGCACGAAAGGCGUAACGAUUUGGGCACUGUCUCAACGAGAGACUCGGUGAAAUCAUAGUACCUGUGAAGAUGCAGGUUACCCGCGACAGGACGGAAAGACCCCGUGGAGCUUUACUGUAGCCUGAUAUUGAAAUUCGGCACAGCUUGUACAGGAUAGGUAGGAGCCUUUGAAACGUGAGCGCUAGCUUACGUGGAGGCGCUGGUGGGAUACUACCCUAGCUGUGUUGGCUUUCUAACCCGCACCACUUAUCGUGGUGGGAGACAGUGUCAGGCGGGCAGUUUGACUGGGGCGGUCGCCUCCUAAAAGGUAACGGAGGCGCUCAAAGGUUCCCUCAGAAUGGUUGGAAAUCAUUCAUAGAGUGUAAAGGCAUAAGGGAGCUUGACUGCGAGACCUACAAGUCGAGCAGGGUCGAAAGACGGACUUAGUGAUCCGGUGGUUCCGCAUGGAAGGGCCAUCGCUCAACGGAUAAAAGCUACCCCGGGGAUAACAGGCUUAUCUCCCCCAAGAGUUCACAUCGACGGGGAGGUUUGGCACCUCGAUGUCGGCUCAUCGCAUCCUGGGGCUGUAGUCGGUCCCAAGGGUUGGGCUGUUCGCCCAUUAAAGCGGUACGCGAGCUGGGUUCAGAACGUCGUGAGACAGUUCGGUCCCUAUCCGUCGUGGGCGUAGGAAAUUUGAGAGGAGCUGUCCUUAGUACGAGAGGACCGGGAUGGACAUACCUCUGGUGUACCAGUUGUCGUGCCAACGGCAUAGCUGGGUAGCUAUGUGUGGACGGGAUAAGUGCUGAAAGCAUCUAAGCAUGAAGCCCCCCUCAAGAUGAGAUUUCCCAACUUCGGUUAUAAGAUCCCUCAAAGAUGAUGAGGUUAAUAGGUUCGAGGUGGAAGCAUGGUGACAUGUGGAGCUGACGAAUACUAAUCGAUCGAAGACUUAAUCAA
rnacentral:rRNA from 1 species